UUUUUUCUAUGAUGAACAACACUUUUAUUUAACAGUUAUCCCUGUCAUAACAAUAAUUGAUGAUGCAAUAAGCUGACAUUUUU